CAGCCGCCGCGGGAAAACGUAGGGUGCAAGCGUUAUCCGGAAUUAUUGGGCGUAAAGAGCUCGUAGGCGGUUUGUCGCGUCUGCUGUGAAAACUGGAGGCUCAACCUCCAGCCUGCAGUGGGUACGGGCAGACUAGAGUGCGGUAGGGGAGAUUGGAAUUCCUGGUGUAGCGGUGGAAUGCGCAGAUAUCAGGAGGAACACCGAUGGCGAAGGCAGAUCUCUGGGCCGUGACUGACGCUGAGGAGCGAAAGCGUGGGGAGCGAACAGGAUUAGAUACCCCGGUAGUCCCUGUCUCUUAUAC
rnacentral:rRNA from 1 species